rnacentral:lncRNA from 1 species
GCCCGAUAUCCAUCCGCUAUGGAAGUUCGAUCGAAGUUUGGUUCUUGUAGAAGGCUGAAAGAAAAUUGCUUACCGUAGAAGCUCGAUCGAACAUCGAUUGUCGUGGGAGCUCAGAGUAGCGACCUGGUCAGUGGGUCUCGUCCCAUUAUAGAAGCUUGAUCGGAGAUCGAUUGUCGUGGGAGCUCGGAGCAGCGACCUGGC